AGAGAUGUCAAACCAACUACAAUGCAGCACCAAGGAGCAAUCAGACUGUUUAGCAGCCCCCUUGCAGGGGACACGCCCAGCAUGAGGAAAGAGGAGAGAAGAUGGGAUCGGCCUCCUUCUGAAUUAGGUCGGACGCUCAGGAGGAACCCUUCAGGCCCUUCCUGCAUGCUGGAGCCCGGAGAUAUUUUUGGGUCUUUCAUCACUUGUGCUGCCCCAGCAAUAUCUAGCUAGUGUAGGAAUUAAGAACUGUCUCCUUUAAGAAACUACCUCAUGGUAAAUGCAGGCAGAGACUGCCUUAUGGGAAAUGUAGUUCCAUAACAUGUGAUCACAUCUUUGUUUAUGAUUGGCCCCCGGGGCAUCUUGCCCACAUGCAAAGUUUAUAUCUGGGCA